rnacentral:lncRNA from 10 species
CCUUCCCUAGGCUAAACUUCUCCAUUGGAUCAAUAGCAGGUGGUCAACAAAGACAAAAACACCAUCUUCAGAAUGACUCAGAUCAUCCUCUUGGGCAGCCCUUUUUGGAUAUCUCUAUGAAAUUCUGCAGCUGAAAGCUGACACGCAUAAUUAUUUCCUGUUAGAUACUGAAGAAAAAAAAAAGCCCAGGAGAUAUUGUCGAGACUGUUUCUGGGGUGUGAUUGGGGGAUAGGAGAUGAAUGGUGUCAGAAUUGGAACAUGAAGUAGAACUUCCAGUAACCCCUAGGAGCAUCAAGUGACCCAGAGAGGUAACCCCCUCCACCAGGGUCCAUUGCAUCCAUUGCUCUCUCACAGCAACUGAGGCUCAUGGUGGUAACUUUGUGAGACAAGCCUCAAAUUUUACCACUGUACCAAGAAAUGAAAGCCAGAAUGUGGAAUUGGAGCUGGUAAUGACGACGUCAGGACAGGUUCAAAGGAAGCCCAUCACUUGAGUAAAAAUUUAUAGCCCUGCUUGUGCUGUGCUGUGCUGUGCUGUGAGUUUCAGUUCCGGGCCAGCAAAAGAUUUAUCAAAGGAAAGCAACAAGGUGUAAGAAAAAUUAAUUUCAGAGAGGAAAAUAAAGUUGCUUGAGGGGCUCUUCAAUGACCAAAGGCCAUAAGAGACUGGAAGGCAAAAGGACCCAUUAAUGUAAUCCAAACAUCAGUCUCCUGCAGCAAAGAGGUGAAUGGAGAAGGGUGGAGAGUAGCUGUGGACGAGUGAAAAAGACAUCGCACCAUGUCUUCAAAUUACAUCCAGCAACUUCAUAUGAACUAUGAAACCCUUGUUGCCACAAUAGUCCCUCUUUGUUUGAACUACUACAAGAAUAAAGAAAUUUCUUUCUAAUCUUUUGCAGAAGAAUUACAUAGACUCUCACUUACUGCUCUUGUUUCAUAGGUGGCUGAUUUUCCAAUUAUAUUAAAUACUUUUGGAAGGGCUGGGACUACAUCUAAUUUCUUGAAAAGUCUGGUGCUGUGGAAGACCAAGACCCAGACUGUUGAGGUCAGCCUAAUGUAAUGUGAAAUAUCUAAACUCUGCGUACUUCUUUACCAUGAGUGUAUAGAUAAAAUAUCAUUGCAUUUAAGGAAAUUGCUUAAAGCCUCACAGUGAAUAAAGUUGACAAAACAUGUAGACUUAUUGCAGAUUUUAUGCAUUUAGGUUUUAUGGCUUCAUUUGCAAUCAGGACUCCCCUCCCCUCCCUUCCUCCCUUCCUUCCCUUCCCUUCCCUGUCCUUCUUUCUUUCCUUUCCUUCCCCUUCCUUCCUUCUCCUCGUCCUGUUU